rnacentral:rRNA from 1 species
AGAGUUUGAUCCUGGCUCAGGAUGAACGCUGGCGGCGUGCCUAAUACAUGCAAGUCGAGCGCCCCUUUAAGAGGUGACAAUCGAAAGAUUGUCGGUUCCUAUGGGGAGCGGCGGACGGCUGAGUAACGCGUGGGAACGUGCCCCAAAGUGAGGGAUAAGCACCGGAAACGGUGUCUAAUACCGCAUAUGAUCUUCGGAUUAAAGCUUUAUGCGCUUUGGGAGCGGCCUGCGUCCUAUUAGAUAGCUGGUGAGGUAAAGGCUCACCAAGUCAACGAUGGGUAGCUGGUCUGAGAGGAUGACCAGCCAGACUGGAACUGAGACACGGUCCAGACUCCUACGGGAGGCAGCAGUAAGGAAUCUUCCACAAUGGGCGAAAGCCUGAUGGAGCAACGCCGCGUGCAGGAUGAAGGCCUUCGGGUCGUAAACUGCUUUUAUGAGUGAAGAAUAUGACGGUAACUCAUGAAUAAGGGUCGGCUAACUACGUGCCAGCAGCCGCGGUCAUACGUAGGACCCAAGCGUUAUCCGGAGUGACUGGGCGUAAAGAGUUGCGUAGGUGGCUUGUAAAGUGAAUAGUGAAAUCUGGGGGCUCAACCUCACAGGCUAUUAUUCAAACUCACAAGCUCGAGAGUGAUAGAGGUAACUGGAAUUUCUGAAGUAGGGGUAAUAUCCAGAUAUCAGAAGGAACACCAAUGGCGUAGGCAGGUUACUGGAUCAUUUCUGACACUGAGGCACGAAAGCGUGGGGAGCGAACCGGAUUAGAUACCCUAGUAGUCC